rnacentral:rRNA from 1 species
GUGCAGCAGGCGCGAAAACUUCACAAUGUGCGAAAGCACGAUGAGGGAAUCCCAAGUGCUUGCACGUAAGUGUAAGCUGUUUCUCUGUCUAAAACGCAGAGAGAGUAAGGGCUGGGUAAGACGGGUGCCAGCCGCCGCGGUAAUACCUGCAGCUCGAGUGGUGACCGUUAUUAUUGGGCCUAAAACGUCCGUAGCCGGUUUAAUAAAUGCCUGGGUAAAUCGGACCGCUUAACGGUUCGAAUUCCGGGUAGACUGUUAAACUUGAGACCGGGAGAAGUUAGAGGUACUCCUGGGGUAGAGGUGAAAUUCUGUAAUCCUAGGGGGACCACCAGUGGCGAAGGCGUCUAACUAGAACGGGUCUGACGGUGAGGGACGAAGCCCUGGGGCGCAAACGGGGAUUAGAUACCCGCGUAGU